rnacentral:rRNA from 1 species
CGUAGGUGGCAAGCGUUGUCCGGAUUUAUUGGGUUUAAAGGGUGCGUAGGCGGUCCUAUAAGUCAGUUGUGAAAUACGGCAGCUUAACUGUCGAGGUGCAAUUGAUACUGCAGGACUUGAGUACAGACGAGGUAGGCGGAAUUGACGGUGUGGCGGUGAAAUGCUUAGAUAUCGUCAAGAACACCGAUAGCGAAGGCAGCUUACUAGACUGUAACUGACGCUGAUGCACGAAAGUGUGGGGGAUCAAACAGGAUUAGAUACCCUGGUAGUCCACACUGUAAACGAUGAUUACUCGAUGUUGGCGAUACACAGCCAGCGUCUUAGCAAAAGCGAUAAGUAAUCCACCUGGGGGAGUACGCCGGCAACGGUG